rnacentral:rRNA from 1 species
CCUACGGGGGGCAGCAGUAGGGAAUAUUGCUCAAUGGGGGAAACCCUGAAGCAGCAACGCCGCGUGGAGGAUGAAGGUUCUCGGAUUGUAAACUCCCUUUGUUAGAGAAGAUAAUGACGGUAUGUAACGAAUAAGCACCGGCUAACUCCGUGCCAGCAGCCGCGGUAACACGGAGGGUGCAAGCGUUACUCGGAAUCACUGGGCGUAAAGAGCGCGUAGGCGGGAUAGCAAGUCAGAUGUGAAAUCCUAUGGUUUAACCAUAGAACUGCAUUUGAAACUGGUAUUCUAGAGUAUGGGAGAGGUAGGUGGAAUUCUUGGUGUAGGGGUGAAAUCCAUAGAGAUCAAGAAGAAUACUCAUUGCGAAGGCGACCUGCUAGAACAUAACUGACGCUGAUGCACGAAAGCGUGGGGAGCGAACAGGAUUAGAUACCCCAGUAGUC